rnacentral:rRNA from 1 species
GAUGAACGCUGGCGGCGUGCCUAAUACAUGCAAGUCGAGCGAACAGACGAGGAGCUUGCUCCUCUGACGUUAGCGGCGGACGGGUGAGUAACACGUGGAUAACCUACCUAUAAGACUGGGAUAACUUCGGGAAACCGGAGCUAAUACCGGAUAAUAUAUUGAACCGCAUGGUUCAAUAGUGAAAGACGGUUUUGCUGUCACUUAUAGAUGGAUCCGCGCCGCAUUAGCUAGUUGGUAAGGUAACGGCUUACCAAGGCAACGAUGCGUAGCCGACCUGAGAGGGUGAUCGGCCACACUGAAACUGAGAAACGGCCCAGACUCCAAGGGGAGGCAGCGGUAGGGAAUCUUCCGCAAUGGGCGAAAGCCUGACGGAGCAACGCCGCGUGAGUGAUGAAGGUCUUCGGAUCGUAAAACUCUGUUAUUAGGGAAGAACAAAUGUGUAAGUAACUAUGCACGUCUUGACGGUACCUAAUCAGAAAGCCACGGCUAACUACGU